GCCGGGAUAGCUCAGUUGGGAGAGCAGCAGACUGAAGUCACGGUACCGUGGGAGUGAAUUCUGAAGGUCCCGUGUUCAAUCCACGGUCCUGGCA